UUCACCCCGUUGUUGGCCAGACUGGUCUCGAACUCCUGACCUCAGGUGAUCUGCCAGCCUCAGCUUCCCAAAGUGCUGGUAUUACAGGCAUGAGCCACUGCACCCAGCUGGAAACCUUUUAAGGGAGAAACUUACUAAUAAGUUGCUUCCUGUCCUUGGGCUUAUAGACUUAAUCUAGAAUUGAUUUUUCUUUGACUUUCUUCAUCAGAGUUAUGUUUUCGUAACUUAAUGACUAACCAAGAAUGUGUUAUAACUGUUGAAGCCCCUUUUGACAUAGUUUACCCCUUCUGCUAUUACUUAGGAUUGAUAGUAAUUAAUCUCUAGGGCAAAAGAUGACUGGAAAAUUGCUCUGGGUUCUUCUUAUAUAACAUCAUAUAAGACCUGUUCGCCUAAAAUCUGUACUCUGAUCUGCACUUGCAGAGCCUCUCAAUUGUUGAUUUCUUUUUCCCUGCCUUGUUGGAAAGAAAGGAGAAUUUUUCUGCCCCCACCCUUGACCCUGCUUGGGUUCACAGCAUUGGUGGAGGUGGGGUUGUCAUUGUGAAACUUAAGAUCUUCAAAGAAGAGAAUGUAAUUUAUACCAUGGAUAUGUAAUUUUUUCAUGUUGGAGCACUGUAAUGCUUUCGUUUUGCUUUCUUACUCAGUUUAAAUAAAAUUUUUAAUUCUUA